rnacentral:rRNA from 1 species
AGGGUUUGAUCAUGGCUCAGAUUGAACGCUGGCGGCAGGCCUAACACAUGCAAGUCGAGCGGAUGAAGGGAGCUUGCUCCCUGAUUUAGCGGCGGACGGGUGAGUAAUGCCUAGGAAUCUGCCUGGUAGUGGGGGAUAACGUUCCGAAAGGAACGCUAAUACCGCGUACGUCCUACGGGAGAAAGCAGGGGACCUUCGGGCCUUGCGCUAUCAGAUGAGCCUAGGUCGGAUUAGCUAGUUGGUGAGGUAAUGGCUCACCAAGGCGACGAUCCGUAACUGGUCUGAGAGGAUGAUCAGUCACACUGGAACUGAGACACGGUCCAGACUCCUACGGGAGGCAGCAGUGGGGAAUAUUGGACAAUGGGCGAAAGCCUGAUCCAGCCAUGCCGCGUGUGUGAAGAAGGUCUUCGGAUUGUAAAGCACUUUAAGUUGGGAGGAAGGGCUGCUGGUUAAUACCCUGCAGUUUUGACGUUACCAACAGAAUAAGCACCGGCUAACUUCGUGCCAGCAGCCGCGGUAAUACGAAGGGUGCAAGCGUUAAUCGGAAUUACUGGGCGUAAAGCGCGCGUAGGUGGUUCGUUAAGUUGGAUGUGAAAGCCCCGGGCUCAACCUGGGAACUGCAUCCAAAACUGGCGAGCUAGAGUACGGUAGAGGGUGGUGGAAUUUCCUGUGUAGCGGUGAAAUGCGUAGAUAUAGGAAGGAACACCAGUGGCGAAGGCGACCACCUGGACUGAUACUGACACUGAGGGACGAAAGCGUGGGUAGCGAACAGGAUUAGAUACCCUGGUAGUCCACGCCGUAAACGAUGGUCACUAGCUGUUUGAUUAACAUUGGUUAAUUAAGUGGCUAAGCGAAAGUGAUAAGUGACCCACCUGGGGAGUACGCUCGCAAGAGUGAAACUCAAAGGAAUUGACGGGGGCCCGCACAAGCGGUGGAGCAUGUGGUUUAAUUCGAUGAUACGCGAGGAACCUUACCAGGGCUUAAAUGUAGAUUGCAUAAGCUAGAGAUAGCUUUUUCUUCGGACUAUCUACAAGGUGCUGCAUGGUUGUCGUCAGCUCGUGCCGUGAGGUGUCAGGUUAAGUCCUAUAACGAGCGCAACCCCUGUCGUUAGUUGCCAACAGGUUAUGCUGGGAACUCUAACGAGACUGCCGGUGCAAACUGAGAGGAAGGUGGGGACGACGUCAAAUCAUCACGGCCCUUACGUCCUGGGCUACACACGUGCUACAAUGGUCGGUACAGAGAGCAGCCACCUUGCGAAAGGGAGCAAAUCUUUAAAACCGGUCUCAGUUCGGAUCGCAGUCUGCAACUCGACUGCGUGAAGCUGGAAUCGCUAGUAAUCGCAUAUCAGCCAUGAUGCGGUGAAUACGUUCCCGGGCCUUGUACACACCGCCCGUCAAGCCAUGGAAGCUGGGGGUACCUGAAGUCGGUGACCGAAAGGAGCUGCCUAGGGUAAAACUAGUGACUGGGGCUAAGUCGUAACAAGGUAGCCGUA